AUUUCUAUUACGUUUAAUUCGGCGCUUACGUGAGUGUAUUCAAUGCUGCUGUAAUCAGGCAGCCUCGCUGUGUUCUCAUUGUUGCUUCUAUUGUUUCAGCAAAGGAUAACCAGAAGCAGACAUUUAAAACAGCUACUGACAGGAAGUCCCUUCACCAAUAUCAGAGUGGCUGACUAUGGGACAGUGAAGAUUUGGGGGGUCACUGGAUAGCUGCUGUGACUUUAAUAAGUGAGCCCCAGCUUCCUCUGCAAAUUGGGGAUAGUAGCAACUUCAGAAGAAGCCUACUGUGGUGUGUACAUGGUGAUGAACUCCAUAAUCCCACCAUUUUGGCAAGCUGAAGCAGGAAAAUGGCAAGUUUGAGACCAGCCUGGGCUACAUAAUAAGUAAGACUCUACCUCAAACCAAAUAAAACCGCUUAUUUUGAAGACACUCCCAUGGUCUUUUCAAGGUUCAUCAAACAAGCAGCAGGGACAGGAAUCGGUUUCUCAGUCUGGGAGAAUAAUUUCUGAUAGUAAUAUUCCAGGGCUGUGUCUGAAGACCGGGAGGGAUAAGCAGCCAGGCACCUUGGAAAAUUCAGAUCUGCUGCUGUCAUAUUUGUGGGGCUUUCAGACUGCCUCCAUAUGUUUGGAGCUGAGAGAGGAGUUCCCUGAUUUUUAA
rnacentral:lncRNA from 1 species